rnacentral:rRNA from 1 species
GGCAUGGUUGUCGUCAGCUCGUGUCGUGAGAUGUUGGUUAAGUCCCGCAACGAGCGCAACCCUCGACCUUAGUUGCCAGCAUUCAGUUGGGCACUCUAAGGUGACUGCCGGCUAAAAGUCGGAGGAAGGUGGGGAUGACGUCAAAUCAUCAUGCCCCUUAUGACCUGGGCUACACACGUGCUACAAUGGGCGGUACAAAGGGUCGCGAACCCGCGAGGGGGAGCCAAUCCCAAAAAGCCGCUCUCAGUUCGGAUUGCAGGCUGCAACUCGCCUGCAUGAAGCCGGAAUCGCUAGUAAUCGCGGAUCAGCACGCCGCGGUGAAUACGUUCCCGGGCCUU